AAGCCCCACCAAGGCCUCUUGACGUAUAACUGGGACAUUUGCCAACUGAUCUCUCCUUCACCAUCAUGGUGAUGGUGAGGUUACCCUGGCCAUGUGAACAGGGUACCCCAAGCCCCAUCCACUCACCAUAAGAGGACAAAUAACUCAGCUGAGCAAGACCCGAGUUGGUUCUCCUGUCCCUGUCAUGCCUUCAUCAGCUCCAAUGGGACAAACUCUUGCUUACCAAGGGCCUUCUAGGACAUUUGGUUGUGUUAAGGUUUUUUGAAUGUAUAUUAUUUUCUUUGUGAAGAGAAAGUGCAUGUGGCAGAUGGACCCAGCCAGGGCUGAGGGAAGAGGACAGCCUGUGUUGGACAUUCCCAGGCUGGAGGCCAGUGCCAGCAGGAAUCUUCUGCCUGUUUCCCAGUCCAUCAGAUCUCUUGGCCCUUUAGAUAACAUUCAUUUGCUAUCAGUGGUAAUGAUUUUGUUUUGUGGUGUAUUUUUUGAACCUUAUUAUCACCCUUUAUUUUACGUACCUAAAAUAUAAUAUUAUGUCAUAUUUCUAUAUUAUAAUAUGAAAUGUAUAUGUAAACUUAGACUAUUGAUAAUAUAUAUUAAUCACUGCUGACAAAUACAGAUGAUAAAUAUUUUCCUGAAUUAAAAGUGUGUUUAUAGGUACUGUCAUGAAAAGAUGCUAGGAAAAUAUGCAUCAUGCCUCAACGUUAUAGCCUAGAUUUCAAUAGCCACAGUGGGAAUAAACAUGUAAAAAAAACUUUUGUCAUUAUUCCCAGCAUUCAGUGUUAAUAAGUAAAGUUUAUUUUUGUAUGAAUGUGCAGUGUGUAAUAUUGAUUUUAUUAUUUUUAUUCUUUAUUUCUUACAAAGUGAUGGAAAAGUAAACAUUCAUAUUUAUUAAUCCUAGUUUAUAAGAGAUAAAGUAGAAAGUAUGAUAGACUCAUGUGUGUCUUUGUGCUUCAUGUUUCUUAUUUUAACAUUUCUAAUCUAUUUGGAGAAUUGGGACUGUGGGAGAUUUUAUCCCAUAGCCCUAAAACUCUAUGAAAUUGAAUAGGUGGUUGGAUCCAAGGGGGAAGAGUAUGAGCAAUCUAAAAUAGAAUUCUCAAGUUAAAGUCACCAUUGUUUCAUUCUCUUACAGUGUUUGUGCCCUUGAAAGUCUUAAAUUAGUAUAGAAGAAAGAGGGUAAGCAUAUAAAAUAAAGUAUACAAUAACUUAAAAGUUCAAGUACAUAUUAAUGAAUAUCAUAAAAUUAUCUUUACUAUCAUUUCCCUCUAUGAAAAGUCACUAUUUUACCUAAUAUCUUCCACUUCCUUGUGGAUAAAUAUUCCAAAUCAAGGGCAUAAAUCACAGUGAAACGAGAAAUGGCAAAGUGCUUUUCUGUUAGAUAACUUUCUUCUUAAUGUUUUCUUAUGGGUUCUAUUUUCUUACUGCACAUAGUGAAUUAAAACAUUAGUUGUAUGUGUCAGUUAACAUUUUAUUUUGGCCAGCAAGACAUUUGUAAAGAAAAAGAUUCCCACUAUGGCUGAAAUAAUUGGUUUGACAUGUCAGAGAAAAGUAGAGGCCUUAGAAAUAUGUCUGAAUUAGGCAUCAAUCAAUGUAUUAAUCCUAAUUGGCUCACCUCCUGCUGCUACUUACAGGCUUCAGAAUUUCCUAAAUUUCAGCAACUUGCUGAAAAUUUUAAAAAAGUUUUCAAGGUGAAUAUUCUCCUUUACUUGGAAACUUGUUUCUGGGAGGUCUAGUACAAUAAAGAGAGAGAAAUACAGCAUCUCUGAAAGAGUAAUUCUCAGAUAACCCUGUGUAAGGGGCAUUAUCCUGAUAACAUAUGAAUGGAACAGGGUGGAUACCAGCCCUCCUGGUUUCCAUUUAUGGCUGCAAUGAACAUAGUAUUAUUUUAUUUUUCUUCUGUAUGUUAUGAAAUAUUCCAAAUAUACAUAAAUAUUUAUUCCCUAUGAGAAUAAUGCUCUUUACAAUCUUUCUCUAUGAUUUUUAUAUUAUAGAGAAUUGUAAGAGAUAAAAAUUAGGCUUGGAAUGAGAAAGGAGAUAAUAGGCAGUGGGUAGAGGACUAAAAAUGCUAAACUGAUGCAAUUUAUUUGGUAUAUUUUCCAUUACUUAUGGACUAUCUGUGAACAAACAUAUCCAUUGCCUAUGAACAAACAUACCUAGGGAUAUUUAAAGAAAUUCAUUUAAAAUAUAUUGUUGCCUAAAGGCAACCACGUUGCAGUUAGACCAAAGAAGAUGAAAAAAGCCUGUUUAUCAUUUCUUGAAAGAGGCAAAUUUACUUUUUUUUUUUUAAUGGCCAAAUCCAUAGCAUGUGGCAGUUCCCUGGGCCAGGGAUCGAAUCCAAGCUACAGCCGCUACAGCUGCGGCACUGCAGGGUCCUUCAACCCACUGCGCCAGGCCUGGGAUCAAACCUGUACCUCCCCAGUGACCCGAACCACUACAGUCAGAUUCUUAUCCCACUGUGCCACAGUGGGAACUCUGCAAAUAUACUUAUCAUUAUUCAAGCAGAUUCAAUAUUUGUUUAACAUCUGCUUCCUGUAAGCACAUAAUGUUGAGGAAAUUGCCCUCUGUCCCCUGAUGAGGAUCCAUCACUCUUCAGGUCCAUCUAAAAAUAUAUCUCAGUACACCAGUAUUGGUGCUCUUAAAUCUAAUUCCACUUAUAUUUGACAUAUUCUAGUUACCUACAAAACUACUGUACUCAGUGCUUUGCUCCUACAUUCUUCAUUAUUCAACUUUUGCUAUUGUGGUCUGCUAAGUAAAAGUAGGAAAUGCAAAAGUACAAUAUAAAUACAAAAUUAUCCUAAGAGGUAAUUUAGAUUCUGACAACAGUGCACAUUAGUUUUGCUUCCAUCGUAAAGGUUGUAGGAAAUCAGUAAUAUGUAACCCCGCAUUCAUGAACCUAUCUUAUUCUCUGAAGCACUCUUAUCACUUUUCAUUUGAUGGUUUAAUCACUCAUCUUUUCCUACAAUCAUUCUAUGAAGUACAGUUCUAGAAGCCAAAGACAUGGAAAAGGCCUCCUUGGAGGAAUUACCUUAACUGAUUCCUCCUAAAAUGAUUUUGACUGUCUAGAGUCUCAGUUAACAGGCCAAGUGGUUAUCUAGCUUACUUUAAUUGAUAACUCUUUCUAAAAUGAUUAUAAAACAAAUGUAAUAACUUUGAACUUGCUGUCUUGGAUAGAAACAAGGUUGGGUCAUCCUCUACAUAGAUCAGGUUGGUUCAUACUAUUAUGGAAACUAAUCUUUUUUUAGAAAAAAAAUAUUUUCUUGGCUGUGCCCUUGGCAUGCAGAAGUUCCCAGACUGGGAUUGAACCCGAGCCACAGCGGUGAAAAUGCUGAAUCCUUAACCACAAGGCCACCAGGGAACUCUGGAAACUGAUAUUAAAGAGCAAAGUGCUAGGGUUUCCGCAGUUACUGUUUGUUCUGUGCUGACUCUGGGCAGUUCUUUCACAGACCAUGCACAUCUCCCAUCCUCAGCUGUAGGAUUCAAUGCGCCUCUCUCCACAAUGUGUGAUACACGUGAGCAGUGGCUCUGAAUGAAAGGAGUACAGGCAAGAGCAAUUGCAAAGAGGAAAUGACCUAAAGGAACAGGCAAAGCGUUCUCCCUUGAUUGUUUUAAUCUUAGAAUGUUAAUAUACAAAUGCACUUAAUAUUUCUGAAAAUGAAACAAAUACACAAAUAUUUAAUAAUGAAAGUUAACUUUAACCUUUUAUUAUUUAUUUUCCCUCAGAAAUAUUCACAAACUUUACUUUGAUCGAGUAAAGAACAAAGGCAUUACUAAAUAAGCACUGAAAUAUGAAAAGCACAUGAAAUUGGUGUUCUCAUAGCCUGGAUAUGAAUGAUCAUUUCCUUGUCAAUUUUCUCAGAGCCUCUCCUUGACAGUCUGUGAAAUCUCUGCAGGUAAAUUCAGUCUUAACACUAGCUAUGUUCUCAGAUCUUCAGCAUCACCAGCCUCCCAACAUGACUUGAACACACACACACACACACACACACACACACACACACACACACACACGAUAAAAUGGCUAAGAUCAUUCCAAACGCGUCAAGCAUAGAUAUAGAAAGUGAGAGCCCCUUGUGAUUCAGAUGGGCUCAUAUACUGAGUUUAUGCCAUCAAUAAAGUUCUAAGACUUUACUAGGGGUGGAAAAAGGUUAGCAAUCAUAUAUCAGUUAUUUUGCAUAAAAUCAGUAACCAUGACUUCAAGUAGAAAGUUUAAAGAUUCUCAAUUUAGAGAAUAAUCCUCCAUUUCAGCAAGCUUAAAAUAUGAUGUGACAGAUAGAAGUACCAUUUUAAAAGUUGAAAACGAUAACCCUAGAACUUUAAGUUCAAUCCAGUAGCCUCUAGUGAGUGUAACUAUAUAAACUUUUCAAUAAAGUUAAAUAAAAUUAAAAUAAUCCUCAGUCACACUAGUCAUAUUUCAACUGCUCAAUAUUUACAUGUAACUAGUGUCUAUAAUAUAGGAAAGCAGAGAUAUAGAACAUUUGCAUUGUCACAGGAAGUUCUAUUGGACAGCACUGCUCUAGAAAGUUAAUUGAAAAAAAGCAUAGAGCUAAAUCUUCCAAAUACCAGGCAUCAAGUCAAUUGAGUUGUAAGCCCAGAGUAGAACAGAGUGAAAUAUCAGCUCCAAAAUUCUGCUUACAGAUGUUUAGGUUGAUUAGCUGUGAUGCUCAAAGCUGGUAUAGCUGGAGGAUUGUUUGUAGUAUUCAUGGUUUGUGUUCCUACUCUCUUUGGCACCAAGAUCCCUGAGAGGGAGACUGGAUCAUUCUACAAUGAGCAAGUGGCAUUUCUUAUCAUUUGUAAACUCAGGAAGAAAGAGAGAGGAGAAUAAAAGCUUUGCAGCACCCCAUCAAAAAGCCUAAUGAUAUUAAAUUAUUUGGUAGCAUUAUAAAACUUUAAAACAAUUUUUUCACAUAAGUAGCAAUAGAAGAACAUGAAAUAUUGAAUCUGAUUAAGGACACGGUAGUCACUUUAUGAGAAUGAAUAAAGACAAUUUUGAGAACUAUAUGAAGAAGAAAAAAGGAGUUCCCAUCAUGGCUCAGUGGUUAAGGAGCCCAGCUAGUAUACAUGAGGAUCCAGGUUCGAUUCCUGGCCUCGUUCAGUGGAUUAAGGAUCCUGCAUUGCUGUGGUAUAGUCCAGCAGCUACAGCUCCGAUUUGACCCCUAGCCUGGGAACCUCC
rnacentral:lncRNA from 1 species